AGUGAACGCUGGCGGUGGGCCUAACACAUGCAAGUCGAACGGCAGCACAGUAAGAGCUUGCUCUUACGGGUGGCGAGUGGCGGACGGGUGAGGAAUACAUCGGAAUCUACUUUUUCGUGGGGGAUAACGUAGGGAAACUUACGCUAAUACCGCAUACGACCUACGGGUGAAAGCAGGGGAUCUUCGGACCUUGCGCGGUUGAAUGAGCCGCUGUCGGAUUAGCUAGUUGGCCGGGUAAAGGCCCACCAAGGCGACGAUCCGUAGCUGGUCUGAGAGGAUGAUCGGCCACACUGGAACUGAGACACGGUCCAGACGACUACGGGAGGCAGCAGUGGGGAAUAUUGGACAAUGGGCGCAAGCCUGAUCCAGCCAUACCGCGUGGGUGAAGAAGGCCUUCGGGUUGUAAAGCCCUUUUGUGGGGAAAGAAAAGCAGCAGGUUAAUACGCCGCUGUUCUGACGGUACCCAAAGAAUAAGCACCGGCUAACUUCGUG
rnacentral:rRNA from 1 species